rnacentral:rRNA from 1 species
GACGAACGCUGGCGGCGUGCCUAAUACAUGCAAGUCGAGCGCUGAAGGAUUGUACUUGUACCAACUGGAUGAGCAGCGAACGGGUGAGUAACGCGUGGGGAAUCUUCCUUUUAGCGGGGGACAACAUUUGGAGACGAAUGCUAAUACCGCAUAAAAACUUUAAACACAAGAUUCAAGUUUGAAAGAUGCAAUUGCAUCACUCAAAGACGAUCCCGCGUUGUAUUAGCUAGUUGGUGAGGUAAAGGCUCACCAAGGCGAUGAUACAUAGCCGACCUGAGGGGGUGGACGGGCCACAUUGGAACGGGACCAGGCCCCAGCCUCUACCGGAGGCAGCAGUAGGGGAUCAUUGGCCAUGGGCGGAAGGCUGGCCGCGGCCCGCCGCGGGAGUUGAGAAGGUUCUCGGAGCGUAAAACUCUGUUGGUAGGGAAGAACGUUGGUGAGGGUGGAAAGCUCAUCAAGUGACGGUAACUACCCAGAAAGAGCCGGCUAACUACGUG